rnacentral:sRNA from 1 species
UCGAAACGCCGCGCGCCGGCGUUUUCAAGUCUUUCAGGGCGGCCCCUCGGGGCCGCCCUUUUCGUAUCCUGAU